UACGUAGGGGGCAAGCGUUGUCCGGAUUUAUUGGGCGUAAAGAGCGUGUAGGCGGCCGGACAGGUCCGUUGUGAAAACUCGAGGCUCAACCUCGAGAUGUCGAUGGAAACCGUCUGGCUAGAGUCCGGAAGAGGAGUGUGGAAUUCCUGGUGUAGCGGUGAAAUGCGCAGAUAUCAGGAAGAACACCUAUGGCGAAGGCAGCACUCUGGGACGGUACUGACGCUGAGACGCGAAAGCGUGGGGAGCGAACAGG
rnacentral:rRNA from 1 species